GACGAACGCUGGCGGCGUGCCUAAUACAUGCAAGUUGAGCGCUGAAGGCUGGUGCUUGUACCCACUGGAUGAGCAGCGAACGGGUGAGUAACGCGUGGGGAAUCUGCCUUUGAGCGGGGGACAACAUGUGGAAACGAAUGCUAAUACCGCAUAAACACUUUAAACACAAGCUUUAAGUUUGAAAGAUGCAAUUGGAUCACUCAAAGAGGAUCCCGCGUUGUAUUAGCUAGUUGGUGAGGUAAAGGCUCACCAAGGCGAUGAUACAUAGCCGACCUGCGAGGGUGGUCGGCCACAUCUGUACUGUGACUCGGCCCCACCUCCUCCGUGAGGCAGCAGUAGGGCAUCUUCGGAAAUUGUCGUCAGUCUGAUCGAGCUACGCCGCGUGCGUGGAGAAGGUUUUCCGCUCGUCAAACUCUGUUGUUGGGGAAUAUCGUUGUUGCUCCUGGCACGCUCCUCAAGUUACGCUAACUACUCAGAAUGCGGCGGCUAACUACGUG
rnacentral:rRNA from 1 species